rnacentral:rRNA from 1 species
GUCUUUUUGAUUAUAAUUUAAAGUCUAACCUGCCCAAUGAAUUUUUAAUGGCCGCGGUAUUUUGACCGUGCAAAGGUAGCAUAAUCAUUAGUUUUUUAAUUGAAAGCUGGAAUGAAUGGUUGGACGAGAAAAUUACUGUCUCAAUUUAAUUUAAUUAGAAUUUUAUUUUUAAGUUAAAAAGCUUAAAUUUAUUUAAAAGACGAGAAGACCCUAUAGAGUUUAAUAUUUUAUAUUAUUAUUUUUUUAUAAUUAUUUUAAUUUUAUAAUAUAUUUUAUUGGGGUGAUAAUUAAAUUUAUAAAACUUUAUAUAAUUUUUUACAUUAAUUUAUGAUAAAAUGAUCCAUUUUUUAUGAUUAUAAGAUUAAAUUACCUUAGGGAUAACAGCGUAAUUUUUUUAGAGAGUUCUUAUCGAAAAAAAAGAUUGCGACCUCGAUGUUGGAUUAAAGUUAAUUUUUGGUGUAGAAGCUAAAAUAUUAAGUCUGUUCGACUUUUAAAACUUUACAUGAUCUGAGUUUAAACCGGCGUGAGCCAGGUUGGUUUCUAUCUUUAAAAUAAUUAAAUAUUUUAGUACGAAAGGACCAAAUAUUUAUAAUAAUUAUUAAAUUUUGAAUAU